rnacentral:rRNA from 1 species
UACGAAGGGGGCUAGCGUUGCUCGGAAUCACUGGGCGUAAAGGGCGCUUAGGCGGCCAUUCAAGUCAGAGGUGAAAGCCCAAGGCUCAACCUUGGAACUGCCUUUGAUACUGUUUGGCUUGAGACCGGUAGAGGUAAGUGGAACUGCGAGUGUAGAGGUGAAAUUCGUAGAUAUUCGCAAGAACACCGGUGGCGAAGGCGGCGACCUGGUCCAUUACUGACGCUGAGGCGCGACAGCGUGGGGAGCAAACAGG